AUUGAACGCUGGCGGCAGGCCUAACACAUGCAAGUCGAGCGGAUGAAGGGAGCUUGCUCCUGGAUUCAGCGGCGGACGGGUGAGUAAUGCCUAGGAAUCUGCCUGGUAGUGGGGGAUAACGUCCGGAAACGGCCGCUAAUACCGCAUACGUCCUGCGGGAGAAAGUGGGGGAUCUUCGGACCUCACGCUAUCAGAUGAGCCUAGGUCGGAUUAGCUAGUUGGUGGGGUAAAGGCCUACCAAGGCGACGAGCCGUAACUGGUCUGAGAGGAGGAUCAGUCACACUGGAACUGAGACACGGUCCAGACUCCUACGGGAGGCAGCAGUGGGGAAUAUUGGACAAUGGGCGAAAGCCUGAUCCAGCCAUGCCGCGUGUGUGAAGAAGGUCUUCGGAUUGUAAAGCACUUUAAGUUGGGAGGAAGGGCAGUAAGUUAAUACCUUGCUGUUUUGACGUUACCAACAGAAUAAGCACCGGCUAACUUCGUG
rnacentral:rRNA from 1 species